AUUCUUGGUCAUUUAGAGGAAGUAAAAGUCGUAACAAGGUUUCCGUAGGUGAACCUGCGGAAGGAUCAUUAGUGAUUGCCUUUAUAGGCUUAUAACUAUAUCCACUUACACCUGUGAACUGUUCUACUACUUGACUCAAGUCGAGUAUUUUUACAAACAAUGUGGAAUGAACGUCGUUUUAUUAUAACAGAAUAAAACUUUCAACAACGGAUCUCUUGGCUCUCGCAUCGAUGAAGAACGCAACGAAUUGCGAUAAGUAAUGUGAAUUGCAUAAUUCAGUGAAUCAUCGAAUCUUUGAACGCAGCUUGCGCUCUCUGGUAUUCCGGAGAGCAUGCCUGUUUCAAUGUCAUGAAAUCUCAACCACUAUGGUUUCCUAAUGGAUUGUAUUUGGGCGUCUGCGAUCUCUGAUCUCUCGCCUUAAAAGAGUUAGCAAGUUUGACAUUAAUGUCGGGUGUGAUAAGUUUCACUGGGUCCAUUGUGUUGGAACGUGCUUCUAAUCCUCCGCAAGGACAAUUACUUUGACUCUGGCCUGAAAUCACGUAGGACUACCCGCUGAACUUAAGCAUAUCAAUAAGCGGAGGA
rnacentral:rRNA from 1 species